rnacentral:rRNA from 1 species
AACGAACGCUGGCGGCAUGCCUAACACAUGCAAGUCGAACGAGACCUUCGGGUCUAGUGGCGCACGGGUGCUUAACGCGUGGUAACCUGCCCUUAGGUUCGGAAUAACUCCCCGAAAGGGGUGCUAAUACCGGAUAAUGUCUUCGGACCAAAGAUUUAUCGCCUUUGGAUGGGCCCGCGUUGGAUUAGCUAGUUGGUAGGGUAAAAGCCUACCAAGGCGACGAUGCAUAGCUGGUCUGGGAGGAUGAUCAGCCACACUGGGACUGAGACACGGACCAGACUGCUACGGGAGGCAGCAGUGGGGAAUAUUGGACAAUGGGCGAAAGCCUGAGCCAGCAAUGCCGCGUGAGUGAGGAAGGCCUUAGGGUUGUAAAGCUCUUUUACCCGGGAUGAUAAUGACAGUACCGGGAGAAUAAGCGCCGGCUAACUCCGUG